GGUCCGUUAGCUCAUUCAGAAGAGCAGCCGCUUGUCGAGCGGCAGGUGGCGGGAGCAUAGCCCGCACGGACCGCCA
rnacentral:tRNA from 1 species